rnacentral:rRNA from 1 species
GUGGGGAGUUUUGCGCAAUGGGGGAAACCCUGACGCAGCGACGCCGCGUGGGCGAUGAAGGCCUUCGGGUCGUAAAGCCCUGUCAAGCGGGACGAAACGCAGAGGUUUGAAUAGGGCCUCUGUCUGACGGUACCGCUGGAGGAAGCCCCGGCCAACUCCGUGCCAGCAGCCGCGGUAAUACGGAGGGGGCGAGCGUUAUUCGGAAUUAUUGGGCGUAAAGGGCGUGUAGGCGGCUUCGUGUGUCUCUUGUGAAAGCCCUCGGCUCAACCGGGGAACUGCAGGAGAAACUGCGGAGCUCGAGUCCGGGAGAGGAGAGCGGAAUUCCCAGUGUAGCGGUGAAAUGCGUAGAUAUUGGGAGGAACACCGGUGGCGAAGGCGGCUCUCUGGACCGGUACUGACGCUGAGACGCGAAAGCUAGGGGAGCAAACGGGAUUAGAAACCCCGGUAGUCC